rnacentral:tRNA from 1 species
AGAGUUUUAAGUUAAAAAAACUAUUAACCUUCAAAGUUAAAAAUAUUAAUUUAAUAAACUCUA